rnacentral:snoRNA from 1 species
AAUAUGGCAGGCGUGAUGAAUCAAUUAGAUGUGCGAAUGGAAGUUUUCUCAUGUGCUCAACUAUUGAGGCAUAUUAGAAUUCUGACCUGCCAAUU